GUCGAUGCUGAAUCCGACUUCUCCCUUUCUACAUUGCCUGAGAGAAGUCACUGGGGAAUACUCUGUACACGGAUUUUCACUGUUGGGGAAAACAGAGAGUCAAGGGAUUGGAUUGUGGAUUGCAUUGGUGGUUUUCCUCAGUUUCCUCAUCUUCUCCACAAGUUUCUACACAUCAAAUGCAGAGCAGCCCUUCUUCAAAGGACCUCCUACAGAAGCUGCUAAGGAACUCAGUCUGUAGCUCUGCGUGGAGCCAUGUGUAAACACUGAACCGAGGCCUGCCACCUCCUACUACCUAAGGGCCCAUUUUCAUCUGAUAUCAUCCCCCAGAAACAAACUCAUGCUGACUUCCAUGUUUUUUUUAGAUUAGAUACAUGGAGAAUUUUCCUUUCCCUUAGAAUUAAAAUCCUGCAUUCUAAUUUUC
rnacentral:lncRNA from 1 species